rnacentral:lncRNA from 1 species
GGAGUGCAAAUCAAGCAUUUUAUUUUUUUUUCCUCCACAUACAUAAUUAAAAACAUAAGUGAACACAGGACAAGAGUCAGAGAAAUUAGACAUAUUUACAGAGUCAACUGAGCUAUCCAUUUUUUCCCAUCUUCAAAAUCAAGUCAUCACAGAUCUUCGUUAGUUCAUCAUUUUCUUUUGUCUUUUGUUCAAGGCUCCUCUCUAAAGACUGGAUCCUCAUUUGUUCUUUGCGGAGACUGGCUUGUAGGGCUGCAGUUUCUGAUUUAGCUUUGUUUCGUACCUGGGCGAUUUCCUCAUUUGCUUGAUGCAGCUUUUCUUCAGCAUGUGCCUUUAGUGCCUGGUAUCUCUGUUCCUCUUUCUUAAUUCUAGCCAGAUAUUCUUCAGCACAUUUUUUCAAAGCCUCUUCAUUUUUGCGGUAACCCUCCAGCACUUCUUUUUGUUUUUCAAAACGCUUGAAGAGUUCAGAGAAAGAUUUCUCCAUAGAGUUCAGAUCUGAAAUAACUUGCUGCUUUUCUUCCACCAUCCUCUGUAUUUCUUUCUUUGAAAGCUCCUUCUGUUUCUGAGAAUCCUCCAUCAUUUGGGUUAUUGUACCUUCAAACUCUGCAACUACUUUUCCCAUUUCCUUGUAUUCCAUGUGAAGCUUGUUGUACUUCUUUUUCCAUUCAAGAGCCUCCAACUCUUUCUCUUGAACCUCUCUUUUAACUAGUUCAACAGCUGCAUCCAUAUCUUUUUGGCUGUAUUUCAGCACAUCUAUAAUAGCGUCCACUGCAGCAUUUGUGGAAGCAGUAAAAGGGAGUGGAGAAACAUCACGUGCCAGGGAGUCUGGAAUUAAGGGACCAGGGUCAGGAGUUGUAAAUGUUCCUAGAAGAUCUAGUCCUUUUGGUUUUUCCUCAUUUUGAAGACUUGAUGUAGGCUUCUCAGUUUCUUCAAGCAGUUUGCUUAGAUCAGAAAUAGGACCACACUGAAGUGGAGCAGUCAUGAUAUCUGUAUUUGCUUCAAUAGUACCAAAAAUUGGUUGCUUCCUGGGACUGUCUCUCAACAGAGGAUCAAACUUCAAAUACAACGAUUGCUUCCUCAAAGCAGACUCUUUGAAAGAUGAAGUUCCAAAUUGCUCCAGAUAGUCUAUGCCCAUUCCGAGAACUUCUGCUGAUGGUCUGAAGAGCUCUUCAGGUUCAGUGCUAGCUGUCUGCUGAUCGGCUGUUAUUUCAUUUUUGUGAGAAGUAGGUUUAAUUUCUUCUGCAGGCAUUGACCUUUUUCCACUGUCAGCAGAAACUAAAUUAUCUUGAGAGGGGACAUUUGCUGGAGACAUUUUAGAUGGGCUUAUUUGCUUCUCCAUGGAUAGCUCUCCUGGAAGAUCAGUCUGUCCUUGAACUUCUGGCUUGUCUUCUUGCUUUUGUGGCUCAUCUUCUAACACAUUUUGUUUGUGGAUUUCCGGACUUCUUGGUUCUUUUUUCUCCAGAAUUUCACAGCUAGUUGGUCUGUUAUCCUGCUCCACUGGAAGAUGCUCCCUUCUUGGUGGGGUACUAUGCUGCUCCUCUUGCUGGGGAACUUUCUGAGAGCUGGGCUCAGAACACUUGGGUGAGGUGGAAAUUUUAGAGCCUCCUCCAAAUGGAUUAAAGUUUGGAUCAUCAAGUUUGUCCCAGUCAAACUUAUAGGACGCUCUAGGAACAGGAGCUUCAUCUUCCACAUUACUUUUAUUUUCCACUUCAGUAUUCUCUGUUUUCAGUUUGGUACUAAAAGUUUUUUUGGAAGGUGGCUUAAUUCCAAGUCUCUUACCUAGUUUCUUAGGAGGUGGUUUUCUAACACUGGUGUUCUCAAAGUCAAAUUCCAGUUUUACUGGUCCAGCCUUGGUGACACCAGGCUUUUCGGCAGGUUCCCCUUUGGAGAUAGCAGGCUCUUCUAACGGCUUCAACUCUUCUGUUGAAGCUUUUUCUGGUACAGGAACAUUUUGAAGCUUUGAUUCCCCAGUUUUGGAAUAGGUCACUUCGGAACUAAUAACAUCCAAACUGCUAGACUUAUCGAUUUGGCUUACUUCUGUGGAAGGAGACUCCUGCAGAGAGCCACUGAUAGCUUGCUUUGGGAACAGAUCAGGUUUAUUAGACUCCAACUCUAACAGAACAGAUUUUUUUCCAGAGGAAAAAGUAUUAUCCUGUUCACUGGGGUACUCUGUACUUGCCGUUGUUGAAGGAGAAGCUGUAUUAUCCAGUGGAAGAGAAUUGCUACUUUCUUCAGAAGUUUUCUCAGGGCUGCUAGAUACCCUUACAGGAGACUUCUGCAGAUUUCCAGGAGAGUUCUGCAGCUGCAUUGAACUCUGGAAGGGAUUGAUGUCAUUUAAGUUAUCAAAAUCAAGAUUGUAGGAACCUCGGCUCUUCACUGGCAUCUCAUCAUCUGGGUAAGGAGCAGCACUGACUUUCUCUGGCAUUUGUUUAUUUAUCUCUGUAUCACUUGCUUCAGUCUUCUGUUGACUUAUGACAGUGCUGAUGGGCAUAGAUAGAUCAUCCUGCAAGGCUUCACUGCAAUCGUCAAGCGUGAAAGUAGAGUCAAGUUUGUCUGUCAUGGUAGGACUUAAUAUUUUUCGAGACUGAGGAUCUCUUAGAGGAGUUUGAAAGGUUACCUUCAUAGCUUUUGCCACACUUUUUGGUGGCAA